rnacentral:lncRNA from 1 species
AUGAAAUGGCUCCGGAGGUGGUGCUCACUGCGGUCCGGUGCUGCUGCUGCUGAGACCCGAGAGCCCGCGGAACCGACAGAGACACGAACCGGCGCACAACCGACACCGACACCCGCCGCCAUAUCACCAGCGGACCCACCGACGAGAGGAGGGGUGUGUGUGUGUGUGUGUGUGUGUGUUGUUGACACUAUAUAUAGCAGCUCAGCGUGUGGUUUGCUCCACAUGUGUGUCUGCAGAGCUCUCUCUAUAACCACACUGAGAGCACAGGAAGAUCUUCUGCUCAUUCAGAGCUCAGCAGCAAACCGUCUGGACAUGUAA